rnacentral:rRNA from 1 species
GACGAACGCUGGCGGCGCGCCUAACACAUGCAAGUCGAACGAGCGAGAGAGAGCUUGCUUUCUCGAGCGAGUGGCGAACGGGUGAGUAACGCGUGAGGAACCUGCCUCAAAGAGGGGGACAACAGUUGGAAACGACUGCUAAUACCGCAUAAGCCCACGACCCGGCAUCGGGUCGAGGGAAAAGGAGCAAUCCGCUUUGAGAUGGCCUCGCGUCCGAUUAGCUAGUUGGGGAGGUUACGGCCCACCAAGGCGACGAUCGGUAGCCGGACUGAGAGGUUGAACGGCCACAUUGGGACUGAGACACGGCCCAGACUCCUACGGGAGGCAGCAGUGGGGAAUAUUGCACAACGGGGGAAACCCUGAUGCAGCGACGACGCGUGGAGGAAGAAGGUCUUCGGAUUGUAAACUCCUGUUGUUGAGGAAGAUAAUGACGGUACUAAACAAGGAAGUGACGGCUAACUACGUG